rnacentral:rRNA from 1 species
GAGUAACGCGUGGGUAACCUGCCUUAAACAGAGGGAUAGCAAGUGGAAACGCUUGGUAAUACCACAUAAAGCCUAAGCAUUGCAUAAUGAAUAGGUGAAAGGAGGAAUCCGGUCUAAGAUGGGCCCGCGUCCAAUUAGCUAGUUGGUGAGGUAAGAGCGCACCAAGGCGACGAUUGGUAGCCGAACUGAGAGGUUGAGCGGCCACAUUGGGACUGAGAUACGGCCCAGACUCCUACGGGAGGCAGCAGUGGGGAAUAUUGCGCAAUGGGGGGAACCCUGACGCAGCGACGCCGCGUGAAGGAAGAAGGUCUUCGGAUUGUAAACUUCUUUGAUUAGGGAAGAGGAAGGACGGUACCUAAAGAACAAGCCACGGCUAACUACGUGCCAGCAGCCGCGGUAAUACGUAGGUGGCAAGCGUUGUCCGGAAUUACUGGGUGUAAAGGGCGAGUAGGUGGAUCACUAAGUCAGAGGUGAAAACCCAUGGCUAAACUGUGGGAUAGCAACUGAAACUAGAGAUCUUGAGUACUGGAGAGGGAAGCGGAAUUCCUAGUGUAGCGGUGAAAUGCGUAGAUAUUAGGAGGAACACCAGUGGCGAAGGCGGCUUCCUGGACAGAGACUGACACUGAGGCGCGAAAGCGUGGGGAGCGAACAGGAUUAGAUACCCUGGUAGUCCACGCUGUAAACGAUGGAUACUAGGUGUAGGUGGUAAGAAACCAUCUGUGCCGGAGUAAACACAAUAAGUAUCCCACCUGGGGAGUACAGCCGCAAGGUUGAAACUCAAAGGAAUUGACGGGGGCGCGCACAAGCAGUGGAGUAUGUGGUUUAAUUCGAAGCAACGCGAAGAACCUUACCAGGGCUUGACAUCCCUUGAACUAUCUAGAGAUAGGUAGGGCCUACGGGACAAGGAGACAGGUGGUGCAUGGUUGUCGUCAGCUCGUGUCGUGAGAUGUUGGGUUAAGUCCCGCAACGAGCGCAACCCUUAUAGCUAGUUGCCAGCAAUAAGAUGGGGACUCUAGCGAGACAGCCGUUGAGAAAACGGAGGAAGGAAAGGAUGACGUCAAAUCAUCAUGCCCCUUAUGCUCUGGGCUACACACGUACUACAAUGGCUACUACAGAGGGAAGCGAAGCCAGGAGGCGGAGCAAAUCUCAAAAAG